CGAUCCUGGCUCAGAACGAACGCUGGCGGCGCGUUUAAGCAUGCAAGUCGAGCGGCAAGGGCCUUCGGGCCCCUAGAGCGGCGGACGGGUGAGUAACACGUGGACAAUCUGCCCCCCGGCCCGGGAUAGCCCAGGGAAACCUGGAUUAAUACCGGAUGAGACGGGACCCGCGAUGGCGGGAUCCGGGAAAGGCGCUGCGGCGCCGCCGGGGGAUGAGUCUGCGUCCCAUUAGCUAGACGGCGGGGUAACGGCCCACCGUGGCGACGAUGGGUAGCCGGCCUGAGAGGGUGGACGGCCACAUUGGAACUGAGACACGGUCCAGACUCCUACGGGAGGCAGCAGCAAGAAUCUUCCGCAAUGGGCGAAAGCCUGACGGAGCCGACGCCGCGUGAACGAAGAAGGCCGUGAGGUUGUAAAGUUCUUUUCGGGAGGGGGAACAACCGUGGCAGGGGAAUGGCCGCGGGAUGACGUGAAUCCCGGAAUAAGCCCCGGCUAACUACGUGCCAGCCGCUGC
rnacentral:rRNA from 1 species